rnacentral:lncRNA from 1 species
ACAGGGUCUUGCUAAGUUGCUGAGACUGGCUUUGAAAUUGUGAUGCUCCUGCUUCAGCCUCCUGAAGUUGCUGGAAUUACAGGUAUGUACCACUACAUCUGGCAAUAAAGGGCCUUUCUAAAUGUUCUCUAAGAACAUUUUCUGGUGCUAAGUUCUGUGAAUCAUUUUUGAGACUUUUUUAUAUUAAAAAGCUACCUAGUGGAUCAGGGAUAGUGUUUAUCCUUGUUUUGUCAAUCAACUUUAGGUCAGCCUCUUUGUCAUAACUCCUACUAGACCUUGUUAAUCUGAGAAGCAGUCAAUUCUAAAGGUGUUAGAGCCUCCCUAUUGCUUUCCCUGUUCUCUUAUUCUUGGCUUCUCUUUAUGCCCAAGGUAAGGACACUCCUCACACACACAUAGUUGGUUCAUCUGUAGGGGUGAAAGUGUUCUAAUACAUGCUUUAAAUAUAAUGUGGAUGUCAAUCGACCAAUGAACCAAAUCUGGAUUUCUCUGGAGUAUUCUAAUUCUACUACAAGAACAUGGAUGAGUGGGGUAUCAGUGGUAAAAAAAGUAAACAUGCAUGCAAAAUGCAAAAGGUCAUGAUGAAAAAUAAAACAGCCAGGAGAAAAGGAAGUCAUAAUUAUUAAAGGUCUUUCAUACAUGGCUCUCUACUGGAUUCCUUCAGUCCUCCCACAGGGCUUUAAACUUGCAAAAAGCAAAAGGUUUAUAUUAUCUGAAGAGAAACUAGAGUAUGUGCCUUUUGAACUUGUAAAUACAUAUACAAUAUGUCUCUUCCCAUUAGAUUGUAUGCCCCCAUGAAGACUGGGAUUAUACAAUGUCUUUUUUUUUUUAAAGAGAGAGAGAGAAUUUUAAUAUUUAUUUUUUAGUUUUCGGCAGACACAACAUCUUUCUUUGUAUGUGGUGCUGAGGAUCGAACCCGGGCUGCACGCAUGCCAGGCGAGUGCACUACCGCUUGAGCCACAUCCCCAGCCCAUACAAUGUCUUUCUUGUUCAUAUUUCUAUUCUGGUUCCUCACAGAGUUCUAGGCAAAUAGUGGCUGCUGGGCAAAUAUUACAUGAAUGAGUGAAUAAAUACAUUUAAACUUGAUAGUGAUGAAAAGUAAUACUAUCUCCAUUUUACAGAUGUUGAGGCAUAGAGGGACUUAGUGACUCACCUCUGAUCACAUAGCUAAAAAGUUGAGGAAUCUGAAGAUUGAGGGUGGGUGCCUGAAGUUAGGCUCUUUCUAUUUCCCUGAGCAUGUCCCUCCUGAAAACUGCCCCAAGCAAGUGUCACAACCACAUUCUAUGUCUUUGUAACAGAAAUGGACCACACCCUACUUGAAAUAGUAUCAGGGAAUCAUAGAAUGGAAGAACAACUAAGAAACUGGAGAAGAGCUUGGGUUCAAGUAGUAGAAGUAAAAGUUGAGCAAAGCCCAUACUGGGCAUCCAAAAAGGAAAAGAAAAGCAAAUGUCCAUUGCAAGUUGUGGCAUCCUAAGCCAGAAAUGAGUCAUCCCCUCAAGAGGCUAUGCCCCUCUCCUCCCCCAGGAGGUCUUAAUGGAGGAGAAGAGGGGCAGAUGAAGCAGUCUAUCACAAUGCCAUCUUUGAAUGCCAGAUGGACUUUUCUUUAGAAGUUUCUUGAGUGUUGAAAGUGAGAACUCACAUGUCUCCCAAUCCACCCCACACACUCCACCAGUCUGGUUUUUAUUUUUAUUUUUUUCUGUUGCUUCUGUUGUUGUUCACACUUUCCUGUAGGGUCAUUUCAAAUUCCUAUUUCCUGAUGACACAACAUCCUUCUGUAAUCAGCUGGCAGCGGGUACAGCCUGCGAAAACUUCAGGUAGCAGCCCUGCCUGGCACCAUUUUCAGCAGCAUCCUGUUCACAACUUUCCAGUUUGACUCCAAAUGCCAAUUUUGGUUUGUGAAAAUUUCCAUGGCCUCCUGCUAGGCUACUCUCUACAUAUUCCAGCUUAUAGCACAGUGAUCUCUUGGGCUGGGCCCCAGCCCCCAUCCUGUGCUCUGUGCUAUCAUUACUUCACAGAGGACGUUUUUUUUUUUUUUUUUUGGUACUGGGGAUUGAACUCAGGGACACUGGACCACUGAGUCACAUCUCCAGCCCUAUUUUUUAUUUUAUUUAGAGACGGGGUCUUGCUGAGUUGCUUAGCACCUCACUUUUGCUGAGGCUGGCUUUGAACUUGCGAUCCUCCUGCCUCAACCUCCCGAGCCGCUGGGAUUACAGGCACGCACCACCAAGCCCAGCCUGACACUUUUAACAUUGGUAAUGAGCAGUGACUUCAGACAUAGCCCAACAACCCCACUUGGGAGGAGGGGCAUACUGGAGGAACCCAGAGAGGGUAAGGAACUCUGUUAUAGUUAUAUGUUCCAAUUGUGACAGAACCAGGACUUGGAAACCAAGGCUUUAAGUCCACUACCCCAGGCUUCUUCAUGAAAAAAGGCUGCUAAAUUAGGAAGGUGAGGUUCUUGCAAUUCUGCUACAGUAUGCCAAAGAGUCUACAAUUCUAGAGUUACAAGGAGGCCCUGCAUUUUCUGUUGGAAUAAUUGAUUCAGGAUUUUCCCUUAGCAGCCUCCUCUGUUGUCGGGCUCUGGGCUAAGCAUUUACUGAUCUUCAAUGCUCCCUACUACUUUAGGGUUUACUAUUAGCCUUAUUACGCAACUAUAGAUCAACUUAUGAACAAUUGCAAUUCAAAUCUUAAUAUUGAAUCUUCCAAUCCAUGAACUUGGCAUAACACUCCAUUUUUAAAAGAUCUUUCAAUUCUCUUUCAAUGUGUUGGUCUUGUACUUCUUUUGUUAAAAUUAUUCACAUAUUUUUCUUGUUAUUAUGCAUGGAAAUAUUUUCAUAGCUUAGUCUUCCCAUUGUUUUUUAAUAGUGUAUUCUGAAACUUUUCUAAACUUAUCACUUCUAGUAUAUUCUCUCAGAUUCCUUAGGCUUUUCUACAUAUAAGAUCAUGUUGCCGGCAAAGUAAGGAAAAGGAUUACUUCUUCCCCUCCAAUGUGCAUGUCUUCAAUGUCUUUUUCUUGCCCUGUGGUACUGGUUAGGAUCUUGCAUGUAAAGCUGAAUAGCAGCAGUAAGAGUGAACAUUCUUGUCCUUUUUGCUGUCCUUUUGACAGAUCCUGGUUGCUGUCUUUUCAAAAUGAAUCUUGGUGACUCUUCCAGAAAGGAGAUAGUAAAGCCUUUCUGCUGAAUUAAGGAGUAUCUUCAUCAUCUCCUCCUGCCUUCUUGCCUUGAAGAUGUAUGAAAUGUGGAUUUCUCAUAAAGGACAAAUGACAUCCAUAUUUCUCUCUCAAAGGUCCCUCUGGAACAGCUUCAUCCUUUCAGCAGCAGAGGUUUAAUAUGUGAAAGGAGUUUAACACCUUUCUUUUUUGGCCCCCUCCAGGGAUUCAGUGAGUAUGUUAGUCAGCUUUCCAUCACUAUGACAAAAUACAUGAGAAAAAUCAACUUAAAGGAUAAUGAUUUUUUUUUUUUUUUGACUCAUGGUUUCAGGAGUUUCAGUCCAAGGUCACUUGGCUGUGUUGUUUUGGGGUCUCUGGUAAGGCAGAACAUGAUGGUGGAAGGUCCUGGUAAAGGAAAGCUGUCAUCUCAUGGCGGCCAGACAACAAAAAGAAAAGGGACCCAGGGACAAGAUGUAGCCUUCAAGGGUAGGCCCCCCAGUGACCUGCUUCUUCCAACUAGGCCCCUACUCCUGAAGUUCCCACUAUUUCCCAAUAGUGCCACCAGCUGGGUAUCAAGCCUUCAACAUAUGAGCCUUUGGGGACAUUCCAGAUUCAAACUGUAACAGUGAAGGAAAAAUGAAAAUUAUGGUGCUUAGAACUCUGAUGCAAGAUCUCGCUAAAUUCCAGAAGGAACUAGGAUGAUGCUCACAAGAACCUGACAGCUGAGAGCCUCCUAGGCACUGCGGGAUGCUCUGAUGUGCUCCCUGCUAUAUUCCAGCUGCCUGUGCUUUCUUCUCUCCCAUGCUCUUCAGAGCACCUACUAACUCCAAACAGACUGAUCCCGCCAAAGCCCCUAAGCCCCAUGCUCAUCUUAGGGUCUCUGGUUAUGCUAUCCCUUCCCUCUUGGAAUGCCUUCCCACUUUCUUCUGCUUGUCCCUUUCUUGAAUCUUCUUCUAAAAUCUGAUCAAUCUGGACCCCAGAAAUUUCUUCAUCUCUCCACAUCUGUAGUCUGACUGCCACUCAACUUAGUACAUGAUUACAGCAGGUUUGUGCUGUGUAGCUCAUAAAGUUUUUCCUAACCACUUGGAUAUAGGAAAUUUCACAUUUAUUUUUGUCUAAAUCAUGAUCUCUAGCUCAACCCACCAACACUGAUGAGAAAUCUACAGCAACUAAAAGGAAUGUCUCCUUCUUUCUGAGGUUCUUGCAGUGGCUCUGGGGGCAGGUCUUCAGUAUCCUUUAUCGCUGAUAAGUUAACUAUUCACUAUGUCCCAAGCCUCUUAGGCAGGUUUUGAGAGCACAGUGCAACCUUUCAGUAAAUCCUUGUCAAGUUACUACCUCUAACUUGUUUUUGUGUACCCCACCCCACCCGACUCUGGCACAGAGAAGUCUCCCUGAUCCCCUCGACACUCUACAGAAAACCUGAAGGUGACCACACAAGAGGACUAGCCUUGCCCACACAGUCACAGACAUGGGUGGACCCAUCACAGCUGGAGAGAGCAGGUGUGAAGUGAGUGACUAAGGGGGUGCAGCUGGAACAUGUGGUCCCCAGGCCAUGGGGGGCAGCCAGACCCCAUUUAGGCACUUCCUCCCUUCCUGAGGUGGCCCUGAGGUCCCGGGCAACCCUACCCAUGACCCUGGAGCCUGUCAUUGUCUCAUGGUUCAAGUUCUUUCUGCCUGGAGAGUGCGUGCCUGUUUGGCCACUUUGCCAGGGUUUCCAUCACAUGCUAAGGAUCGUGAAUUAUAAAAGUCGCUUUUCUCCAGUCAAUUUAAGCCAGUCUGGCAUGAGUCCCUUAUUCUCCUUUGUCAACGAGGCAAAGACUCAGUUGUUCAUCCAGCUUUGUGUCUUGCAAUGAAGCAACCCUUUCCCUGCCCUUCCUUUCUCCCUUAGAAGCCCUGAUUCUGGCUUUUUCUUGACCCUGCUCUGAAGUGUGUGGAAAAUCUGCUUCAGUGCAGUUCCCCAGUAGUUUGUUUCUCCUCACUUCCACCUUUUCCUCCUGUCUGUGUGGGACCAUCCAGGGAUGAGAGUAGGAAUAGGGUUUGUAACUGGCAGCUCAUUGAUGGGUGUUAUUUUGAUGCUGAGCAAGAAUGACUAAACUAACACUCCAUGGAGAGGCCUCUGUAGCCAGGGGCAAGACUUGUAGCUGGUGCAGGACUUACAGCAGGAGGGCAGGAUGAGGUUUGGUCUCUGCCCCCAGCAGCUCAGCAUCUAAGCUGUUAGAGGAGGAUCCCCUGUGGGACUUUGACAAAUAGAGGUAUUUCUUUCCUGUUUUUAAAACCAGAAGUCUUUUCAUGGAGGCCCAUUUUAGAGCUUGUACCUGUCUAUUUGUACUUCCACCUUUUAGUGUACAACCUCCUCCAUCCACUUCUACUUAUCCCCCUAGAUUAGCUCCUGCAGUGUGAGAUUAAUGUUUACAGUGUGAGAUUAAUUUUUACCCGGAGACUUCUCCUUUCUAACCAAUUGAGUUCCACCAGUUUUUUCACCACCUUGAUGCUUUGUUUGAUUUCUUUUGCAUGUGUUUAGUAGUGGCUUUGAAAUAAUCCAAAUCUUGUAUCUUACUUUCAGACUCCCUAAAGCCAGAGUGCAUCUUUCCCCACUCAGUGCUUUGUUCAAUUCUUGGCCCACAGGACACUGACCACCUUCCGCAAAGCCUCACACAUGCCUUACAGCUAAACCCCAGGGUGCCUGAAGUUAAAGCUCUACUGGCUCUUUGAAUCAGACAGAGCUGCUACCCUUCCAGUACCUGCUAACUAAACACUGUCAGGUGCCCUAAUGGAUGCUUCCUCCUGCAUGUAGACUUACUGAGAGGUGUGUUUAUUGAGGUUAGCAGGUUGUUUUUCUGUUUACAUCCCCUUAACCCAAAGAAAACGUUUGGUGGAAAAGGCAAGUUGAAAUUUCUGAAGGGAUGCUAUUUCAGAUCAUGUCUUUCUGAGCCCUUGAGUCUAUAAUUUUAUAAAAAGGGAAGGUAGGUGUAGCUUAGUGGUAGAACAUAUGCUUCAUGUGCUUUAGGCCCUGGGUCCAAUCCCCAGUACUCCAGUACUCCCCACCAAACACACACACACACACACACACACACUCUCUCUCUCUCUCUCUCUCUCUCACACACACACACUCUCUCUCUCUCUCUCUCUCACACACACACACACACACACACACACACACACCAGCCCAGGUGAUGCUGAUGUAUACCUUUGAUUAUCAGUGGGAUCUACUUGACACUGACAGUGUAGUCCCUGGGCAAACAGCAUCAUCUUCAGCCUUAACUAAUCAAGAAAUGCAUAAUCCCAUGCUACACCUAAAACUACCGAAUCAGAAUCUAUAUUGUAGCCAGAUUCUCAGGUGAUUAGCUCAUACCCUGAAGUAUAAGAACUCUUGAUUUAUUAGUGAUUGCACUGGGGCAUGAGCUUUAACUAGGGCAACUUAUUAUGGUCACUUUUCCUAUCAUGGAGAUAGUAUGUGGGAGCCAAAGAAAGGACAGAGAAGAAAUUUGGGCAGCCACAACUCUAGGAUCCUCUUUCUCCGAAACUGGGAUAGAGUCUCAGGGCCUAUCUUUCUGGACUCUUUUUUUUUCACAGUAGGUAACUAAUAAUUGAAUUGUUUGUUCUCCUCGUUAGUUGUGUUUGCUAUUAUUACAGCAUAAGUUGUUGGGGCAGCAGAGAAGAGUGUUAAUGAGCUUAUGGGGAGAGAUCUCUGGAACUGUCAUAACCCUGUAUCUUUCUUUAUUCGAUGCUGAUCCACACACCCGCUACUCCUCCUCUCACCUCCUCUUAGAGUAACCUUAGUUGCUAUGACUGUUCUAUCCCUACAUCCUGUUUCUGCCUUUUCUAGUUCUUGACAUUUUGUCUUUCAUCCUGUUCUAGACUUUUAGCUUGCUUCCUAGCCUCCAUUAACUUUCUGAUCUUCAACAGAUAAUUAUUUUAACACCUUCUGUUACACCAGUGAACACUGAGGAUUCAAAGUAAAUGCAAGAUGCAAUUUCUGCCUCCAAGGGUCUGCACCAUUGUGUUCAUUACUUAGCCCUCACUGUGCUAAAUGCUUAAUUUAGGUAAUCUUAUUUAGUUUUCAACAAUAUAACUGUGAGGUUGUCCCCACGUUAUAGGUGCAAGAAGCUGGGCUCAAAUCCUUAAAUAAUUUCCCUAGGGCCAUAUCUAAUUUAGAAGCAUAGGUAGGAUUUAGGCCUAAGUAUGAUUAUCUCAAGUCCGUUACUGAAGAUCCAUACUUCUAGCUCAGAAUUGCAUGGUUUCACAAUGCAUAGUCAUUACUUUAUGUAUAUAAAAGUCUUUUUUCUCUGUCUCCCACAAUGGCUAUGAGAGUGUCUUAAAGCACUCUAGAAAAGACAUUUUCCUCAUUGAUGAGCCCAGGACACAUUUCCAAUGCCCAGGACAGUGCCUCACAUAUCACAAUCAACAGGAGGAAGAAGGCUGUUUUGAACCAUCUCUUGGAUUCUACCCUUCUACCACAGAGCAUCCUCAAGCCUGAGGUUCUCAGCAUCCUUGGGGCCUGGGGUCCUCCCUAAUUCACCUCUGCCUUUCAGAGGCAGGCAGCCAGACCAAGAGACCCUUUUUCACUUUGUCUAAAUAUAACAUAUACGGAGUUAAUCCAAGCUUUCUGCCUAGAAAAUUCCAAAAAACAUUAUUCUGAAGCUUUAUAAUUUACACAACCGACAAUAAAAAUGUUGAAGGAGCUGGGUGCAGUGGUGCAGGCCUAUAAUCCCAGCAAUUCAGGAAGUUGAGGUGGGAGGAUCAUGAGUUCAAAGCCAGCCUCAGCAAAAGCAAGGGCCUAAGCAACUCAGUGAGACCCUGUCUCUAAAUAAAAUACAAAAUAGGGCUGGGGAUGUGGCUCAGUGGUUAAGCACCCCUGGGUUCAAUCCCCAAUAACAAACAAACAAAAAAUAAAUAAAAUUGAAGGAAUUUCAGUAGAUGGAUGUGGUACAACCCUACCUUUCCUGGUGCUAUGAUUAGGAUAUAAGUUAUCCUCCAAAAGCUCACAUGUGAGACAAUGCAGGAAGGUUCAGAGGAGAAAUGAUUGGCAGGUUAACCCAAUCAGUGAAUUAAUCCCUGAUGAGAUUAAUUGAAGUGGUAGGGUGUGGUUGGAGGAGGUGAGAAUUGGGGCAUGGCUUUGGGGUAUAUAUUUGUAUCCGGAAAGUGGAGUCUCUCUCUGCUUCCUGAUCACCAUGAUGUGAGGCUGCUUCCCUCUGUCACAUUCUCCCACCAUGAUGUCCAGCCUACCUCCAGCCAUGAGAAAUGGAGCCGACCUUCUAUGGACUAAGACCCCAAAACCGUGAGCCCCUUCUCUAUAGUUAUUCUGGUCAGAUCCUUUAGUCACAGCAUAGAAAAGGCUGACUAAAACACCUGAUGUUUUAGAGGCUGCCCACUAUGCCAGCUGUCUCCCACAAUGGCUAUGAGAGAAUAUCCUCUUCCAGGCUCCUUUGUGCUACCUCCUCAGGGCACUUAUAGGACUUUCCCUUUUCUGUCCUUUAAAGGGAAAAACAUAACAUAGGCCACAGAGAAUGAUUUAACAUUUCUGUUGUGCUAAUAAGUUUUGAUUUAUAUUGUGAUUAUAUUGUAGCAUUCUCUUUUGUGAACUAGUGGGCACAGGAAAAAUUAUUGAAGGCUGAAAUGUAUGUAAACUGUUUAGACACCCUAAAUUAGAAUCCUUCACUUGGGAAGCCUUUGAGAAAGCUUUCUCAAGACUGCUAAAUACAGGAUAGGAAUUAGUCCCAUUUUAUAGGCCAGGAAACUGAGACCAAAGGUAAGGUAGGAUACAGGAACUUUGACAUGCUUUACUGUUCCCACCACACAAUAUAUCAUUUCCUAAACUGAAUUCACAAUGGGAAGUUUGAAUGUUAAAUUUGGCAGGGUUGUGGUUAAAAACUUGAAAUUUAGAGUCAGGAAAACUUUGGUACUUGGGUAAGUUAUUAACCUCAGUUUCCUGAAAGAAAUUACUAAUAUGUACCCCACUGGCUUGUAAUGAGGAAUUAAACAGGAUGAUGUAUGUAGAACACUUGACAGAGUGCUUGGCACAUAGUUAUCACUUCAUAAUUGUUAGUUGUGAUUUUUACUAAAACUAUGAUUAUGUGAGUCCUUCAGUUUCCCUGAGAAGUCCUCCUUGUUAUGUGACCAGCAGGCUUAUCCUUGUAGGGCCCAGGUACAUGUAGUUUUUGUAACUCUGUUUUUUUCUUGACCUAUUUUCUGGUUAAAACUCAGACUUUCAGGAUUGCAACCACAUCCCCUUAGUCUUUACACUCAUUUCAGACAUCAUGUUCAAACUGAGAUUUUAGUUACUUAUCUAAAUACAGUAUUAGUAUUAGUUCAUGGAACAGACCUCCUACAUGUUCUUAUUAUUUCUUGAUAACUCAGGUCUGAAAUUCCAAUGUCUCAAGGUCCAGAGAUGUUAGCUCAAGUAGAGCAGAUCCAAGCCCAAGAACUGAUAUGUCUAUUUUGAAAGAGAGAACUUGCUUCCUUUAGUUUCUAUAGCAAAUAUUGAAUCUAGGGUAUCAAAUGAUCUGAGACAUAUUACAAUAAAGGGGCUUAAUUAAGAAUACAAAUUCCAUUAAAUCAAAACUAUUUACAACCCUGGGAUUUUGUAAAGUCUAAAGAAAGAAUUCUCCAGACUUGAUCCAAUAGACUUGGUUCUGUGUAACCACUUGAGAAAAUUUAAUUUCAAGAGUCAACAUAUUAAUGCUGAUUGACAUUGGUUUUUCUCUGAUGCAGAAUGAUAGACAUGGCCACCUCAUGGUUCUCAUUUGAGAUCCCAAUACCCUAGGACUUGAAGGAAACUGACAUUCUCUCCCUACUUUCCUCUCUUUUUUUACCUCAUUAAAUUAAGAGAAUUCUUCAGAGAAUCAAGAACUGGAUAAUCCAUUUUUAUGAUAAGAAAGAGACUCCUUUAACUAACUCAUUACCUCCUUCAGUCUUGGUACAGCUUUCUUUAUUUCUUUUUUAUUUUUUUCAACUGGCAAUGGAAUCCAGAGGCACUUCACCACUAGUACUAGUUGUACCCCUAGUCAUGUGACACCAACCUAAUAAGAACUUCCCAGAGAAUCUUGGAAAUGUUUUCACAUGUACUGGAAAGAGAUGAAUGACAAAAUUUGGUGAACCCAAAGCAUUGUGUCUGCUUACAGGGAAGCCCCCUCUUACUCUCCUCUCCUCCUUCUUCAAAUGUAGCAGUCUGACCUACAGUAGAUACCGUAAGUACAGUCAGCACAGUAAAUUGGAUGGAAGAAACGAUGAACGAAUUGUAACCUAAGAUCUUACAGUGAAUAAAAGAGUGGGCUGGAAUGGACUUGUAUUGAACUGGUUAGCUGGUUAAUAGAAAAUUCUGUAUUAAUUUAUAGUAUGCCCACAAAUUAUAGGAAGAAAUCAAAACCACAUCAUUAAAAAAUAGGAUACAGCUAGGUGUGGUGAUGCAUGCCUCUAAUCUCUGAAGGAGGAUUGAGGCAGGAGGAUCAUGUGCUCAAGGCCAGCCUCAGCAAUUCUAUAUUAAUUUCUCUGACACCCUGGGGAGUUCUUAUCAGAUUGGGGCCACAUGACUGGAUUAAAACCAAUAGCACAGGGAAGAAAUUACAUGUUAUUCUCAGGCCCCUGGCCAUAAAAUUCAUUGCACCUUUGUCCAUGUUCUCACUUUCCCUUCUGUGAUGACCUCUGAAUCUAAAUAACAGCAAUAUAAGAUUAUAGGAUUGUGGAUCCCUGAGUCACCACUGUAAGGAGAGUCACAGAAGGACUCUGGUCUGGGGCUUCCUUGUUAUUGACCUAGCCUUGGUUGCCCUACUACAUGCUUUCUAAAGGUGGGGGUGUCUUAGUUUAAUACUGAAGGGAAAGAAGAAACUAGGCUACAUCAAGUCACUUUUAAUGAUCUUAUUCCAGCUAGAAAAAAAACUAUCAAAAAAUAGCCAGAUUUUCUAUGCAGAAUAUAUUGAUCAAAUACCAAAGUUUUGAAUGAACCCCAGGUUUCUGCUUAAACAACUGGAUAUAGUACAAUCACCACAGAAGAGACUGUAGAAUUUUCCAGAAAAAUUCUUCACACUAUAGAAAGUUGUAACAAGACUGCCAAGUGUGAUGGCACAUGCCUCUGAUUUUAAAGACUUGGGAGGCUGAGUCAAGGGGAUCACAAGUUUGAGGUUGGCCUCAGCAAUUUAGCAAGAUCCUGCCUCAAAAAAAAAAAACAAAAAAGACCUGGGAUUGUAGCUCAAUGGUAAAGCAUCUCUGGGUUCAAUCCUCAGUAUGGAUGGAUGGAUGGAUGGAUGGAUGGAUGGAU